UUUUCUCACAACAGUCGUUUGAAAUAACUGUCACUUCACGGAGUUCGCGUUCGAUCCGUGUUGGCCUGGGCUUCUUCGGUGCAACUUCGCUGUGUAUUCAAGGUCUUUUUAAAUGGACAGCUUUGUUGCUGAUAAGCUAACUGAGUGGUGGCUGUUUAAGCUGACAGAGACAUUUUUUGAGGCCGUCUACAGUGUUGGGAAGAAGACAAUCCGGCACUCCACUGAAGAUCCUGGACAGCAUUCAUACACCAAAUGUCUGUUGGAACAAAUAUGGUGGAAUACAGUGGCGGCUCGUGACUGCUCAUCCGAGGAUGCGCUAAUUCAAAAUGAGUGUUCAGAUUGUCACGUGUGUGGUUUCCUUUUCCAAAAUAUGUGUCCUGCGUGUCGAGAGAUCCUGUGUGCAUCACAUGUUUUAUCACAAUACGUGCCUGCUGCACACGCGUCAAAACUGUUUAUGAUAAAAGAGACACUCAUGUUCACAAAAUACACACUAGACACUUUCUUAACAGUAAACUCUGAUUACGCAUGAGAUUAUGCCAGUAUCUGGCAAACGCAAUCAUCUCUUUUAUCAUAAACCCUUUAGACGCGUCUGCAGCAGGCACUUAUUUUGGCAUGACACAUGAUGCACACAGGAUCUCUCAAAGCGCAGAACACAUAUUUGGAAAUAACGAACCACACACAUGACGGGCUACAUACAUGUUGUGACGAACUUCGCAUCGAGCGCCCUCAAAAAAUAAGUCACCGGCCCCCACUGGUGGAAUACCUUCAGCAAUCGAUGCCAUUCCCCUCUGGGAGAUCUUAAGCUGCAGUAAAAGACACAACCAAUGUUUGAAGACUUAAAGCCUCAAGUUCAAUUUAGUUAUUGAAUGCUGUCAAAUGUUUGAGAGUUGUUUAUUUUUCUAUUUUUCCUUUCUAAUGUUAUUACAGUGUGACCUUAAAUAAAUAGGUCAAAGUGUGUGUUUUUUAUAUAGAAUUUAAUUGAAUGCAAUAAAAAUGUAAAACUGAUUGAAGUGUGUAAGUGCCUGGAUUUUUCUUUUCUGAAAUAAAUAAGGCAUAGUGGCAUAGUUACACAAUUUAGGUUAUCUAUGACCUUUGGUUAAAAGGAUCUACUAAUUUCUGGGUUAUUUCAACCCAGAUAUUGGGGUCUUUCUUUUGACCCAGAAGUUGGGUUAUAUUAACUACAAUGUUGGGUUAUUUUAACCCAGAAGUUGGGUCAGGUAUUUAACCCAGAAGUUGGGUCAAAAAGAAUAACCCAUUUUUCUGGGUUGAAAUAACCCAGAAAUUAGUUGGUCCCUUUUUAACCCAGGAGUUGGGUCAAAAAUAACCCAUAAUGGGUUGUUUUUGACCCAGGAGUUUUUAG